ANACGCUGGCGGCGUGCCUAAUACAUGCAAGUCGAGCGGACCAAAGGGAGCUUGCUCCUGGAGGUCAGCGGCGAACGGGUGAGUAACACGUGGGCAACCUGCCUGUAAGACUGGGAUAACAUCGAGAAAUCGGUGCUAAUACCGGAUAAUAAAAAGAACUGCAUGGUUCUUUUUUGAAAGAUGGUUUCGGCUAUCACUUACAGAUGGGCCCGCGGCGCAUUAGCUAGUUGGUGAGGUAACGGCUCACCAAGGCAACGAUGCGUAGCCGACCUGAGAGGGUGAUCGGCCACACUGGGACUGAGACACGGCCCAGACUCCUACGGGAGGCAGCAGUAGGGAAUCUUCCGCAAUGGACGAAAGUCUGACGGAGCAACGCCGCGUGAGUGAUGAAGGUUUUCGGAUCGUAAAACUCUGUUGUUAGGGAAGAACAAGUGCCGUUCGAAAGGGCGGCACCUUGACGGUACCUAACGAGAAAGCCACGGCUAACUACGUG
rnacentral:rRNA from 1 species